CCUACGGGUGGCAGCAGUGAGGAAUAUUGGGCAAUGGGCGUAAGCCUGAACCAGCCAAGCCGCGUGAGGGAUGAAGGUUCUAGGGAUGGUAAACCUCUUUUAUAAGGGAAUAAAGUGUGGGGCGUGUCCUAUUUUGAAUGUACCUUAUGAAUAAGGAUCGGCUAACUCCGUGCCAGCAGCCGCGGUAAUACGGAGGAUCCGAGCGUUAUCCGGAUUUAUUGGGUGUAAAGGGUGCGUAGGCGGCCUUUUAAGUCAGCGGUGAAAGUCUGUGGCUCAACCAUAGAAUUGCCGUUGAAACUGGGUGGCUUGAGUAUGUUUGAGGCAGGCGGAAUGCGUGGUGUAGCGGUGAAAUGCUUAGAUAUCCCGCAGAACCCCGAUUGCGAAGGCAGCCUGCCAGGCCAUGACUGACGCUGAUGCACGAAAGCGUGGGGAUCAAACAGGAUUAGAUACCCGAGUAGUC
rnacentral:rRNA from 1 species